ensembl:snRNA U6 U6 spliceosomal RNA
GUGCUCACUUUGGCAGCACACAUACUAAAAUUGGAAUGAUACAGACAAGAUUAGCAUGGUCCCUGAACAAAGAUGACAUGCAAAUUCAUGAAGCGUUCCAUUAAAAA